rnacentral:lncRNA from 1 species
CUCCCUGACUUGCUGUUUCCUUGUCGGAUCUCUGAGACAUAUUAUUUUACCUUUUGUAUCUUCAACACCAAACACCACUGUCCCACUGGGCGUGCCAAAUUGUUUCGCGCGGGUUAGUCGCUAACAAUUAAAAAGGGAUCAGACGAUUGUAUAAGGGGCAAACCUCUUGAGACAAAAUCCCAAAAAUGGGCGUUUUUAUUGGCGAUGACUUUACAAUUGGAAAGUAAAAAAUCGAAUGGCUCCAAGGGACGCAAGCACACGAGUUACUGUAAAAGAAGUGUUUAAAUCUAAACUAAAAAAUUGAAACUUACAUAUUCUCUAUUUGAGAGUGUUUGAUUCGGGGUCUUUUGCUCUAUGUAUUUUCUUCCUUUUAUAUUCCUUGGAUGAUUUUUUCGUGAUCAACCGCUUAAGAAACUGUUUGAUCGCUCUAUAACUGCCCACUUUCCUUAUAGUGGCCAACUUGUCAUGGAACUGCUUUCUCUAACCGCUGCCAUUACUUUUGUCGUUCAACCGUCUUCAAUUGAAUUCGUUGAAUCGUGGAACGUGAUAGGACUAUCCAAUAACUGCUUCAUUAACUGCACUUUUGGGUAACCAUAACUUCUUAUGUUUGCUAAGAUACUGGGCGACUUGAAUGUUCGGACGAGAGCAGAGUCACAGCUCUGGGCGACUGCAUGGCAAUUCAUUCGCUCAAAUCUUGGGCGAUUUGCAACCUUCGGCGAUGGUAUUUCCGCGUUCAUGGGCUUCCUUAUUUGGGCCUUUAUCCUGCAUUGCCUGACUGGGUCGUUCUUUGGGCUAUUUGAUUUUGGGGAUCUUCUAAUUGGACUUCAUUCCUUGAGCUAUUCAACUUGGGCUGAACUUUUUGUGUGUCAACAACUACAUUCGCCAAUUAUUUUGCAUUGUUUAAUUGAUAUUAUCAGAACUGAGUAUAAGGCUUCCUAUCAGCAAGCUAAACAUCUUGUUGCAGCUAAUGAGCCUCCAGCAGUUUCUGCGCGCUAUCCUUGCUCUUUAGGUUCCACUCCUUGUAGUUUGUUGUGAAGACAACACACUUGGAUGAGUUCCACCAUCAUGGAGUGGGCAUGACAAUAGCAGGUUGUAGUCAUCCCUAGUAAAUAGAAUUCGUCAUAUAUUACCUGGCAAAGAAGCAUGCAUCUUUAUUAUCGUGCAUUUGAUAAGCAGGUAGCAAAUAAAAGUAGACUUCACUUCUAUGAUUCCAAAAGUAUGAUGCACUGGUGGUCAAAUUUUUCAAAGAUCAAAUAUCCUAAUGCAAGUGAAUUUUUAUAUAAAGACAGCAAAAUUGAAUUG